GAUGAACGCUAGCGGCAGGCUUAAUACAUGCAAGUCGUGGGGCAGCAUGUCCCGCAGCAAUGCGGGAUGAUGGCGACCGGCAAACGGGUGCGGAACACGUACACAACCUUCCUUUAAGUGGGGAAUAGCCCAGAGAAACUUGGAUCAAUACCCCGUAAUAUAUAGAAGCGGCAUCGCUUUUAUAUUAUAGCAGCAAUGCGCUUGAAGAUGGAUGUGCGGCUGAUUAGGUAGUUGGCGGGGUAAUUGCCCACCAAGCCGACGAUCAGUAACUGGUGUGAGAGCACGACCAGUCACACGGGCACUGAGACACGGGCCCGACUCCUACGGGAGGCAGCAGUAAGGAAUAUUGGUCAAUGGACGCAAGUCUGAACCAGCCAUGCCGCGUGGAGGAUGAAGGUCCUCUGGAUUGUAAACUUCUUUUAUCUGGGAAGAAAUCCAUUUUUUCUAAAAUGGUUGACGGUACCAGAUGAAUAAGCACCGGCUAACUCCGUGCCAGCAGCCGCCGUAAAAC
rnacentral:rRNA from 1 species